rnacentral:rRNA from 1 species
UACGGGGGGGGCAAGCGUUGUUCGGAAUUACUGGGCGUAAUGGGCUCGUAGGCGGCCAACUAAGUCAGACGUGAAAUCCCUCGGCUUAACCGGGGAACUGCGUCUGAUACUGGAUGGCUUGAGUGUGGGAGAGGGAUGCGGAAUUCCAGGUGUAGCGGUGAAAUGCGUAGAUAUCUGGAGGAACACCGGUGGCGAAGGCGGCAUCCUGGACCAUUACUGACGCUGAGGAGCGAAAGCCAGGGGAGCAAACGGG